ensembl:lncRNA
CCCAGAGGAAGGAGAAGAGCUGAGCCUCUGAGCCGCUCCAUUAGGCGAGCUGCAGAGGCAAGAGCCUGUCCCGGUGACACAUCCAGAGCCUGCCAGCUUGUACGUCUGGAAGUUCUUGGUUCGUGUACUGCUGAAGCCUGCCCUAGCUUUAGUACCCAGCACCUGGGGUUGGAGGAGUGCCCUCCACACUGGUCACAACUGCAGCAUGAAUAAGCCUGGGCUAGCGACUUUAAGAUGAAGGUAACAGGGAUUAACUGAAGUAACCCUCACGAAAUGGACAAGUGGCUUAAACAUCUCCCUGCAGAGAAGCGGCAGAUGGAGGCUAAUUCUAGUAACACAGAUGAGUUUCAUUGCAGAAUUUAAUACUAAAGGCAUCAUCCAUGGACUUCCCUGUGGUCCAGUAGUUAAGAAUCCACCUGCCAAUGCAGAGGACAGGGGUUUGAUCCCUGGUCUGGGAAGAUCCCACGUGCUGCAGAAGCAACUAAGCCCGAGUACCACAACUACUGAGCCUGCGAACCCUAGGGCCCACGCUCCCUAACAAGCGAAGCUGCCACAAUGAGAAGCCCAGGCACCUCAACUGGAAAAUAGCCUCCAGUUGCUGAAACUAGAAAAAGCCUACAUGCAGCAAUGAAGACCC